GGGUCGUUAGCUCAGUUGUGCACGACCCACCAAUGCUUAGGUGAGCAGUGGUAGUAAGCGUAAAGGAUAACGUUGCGACAGCAACGGCCCGUAGGGCGAGCGAAGCCGAGUCAUCCUGCACGACCCACCA
rnacentral:tRNA from 1 species